GGGGUCGUAACGGUUUCGACUGUGGGUGAAAGGGAAAAUAUAAGCAUACCGAAGCGCACGUCUUCGUUAAAACGGGCAAACUAAAUUUAAAUGCUGAUAACAACAGUUACGCAUUUGCUGCUUAAGUAAAAGCAGUCGUCCUUACUCGUCUUCCCGUCGGGCGGGAUAAGGGCGUCAUUUUGGCGGGGUACCGGUUUUGUGUUUUGACCGCGGCAUAAAAUCGGGAUUUAGCGGUUUACGGUCGAUAUUUUGCGCCUUACCAUAGUAUCGGCAAGAGAUUAAGUUAAGGCUAAGUAUGUAGAAGGUUUUUCGGUUCGUUCGCAACACGGCGGUUCGACUCCGCCCGAUUCCACCA
rnacentral:tmRNA from 1 species